rnacentral:lncRNA from 10 species
AGUGACCGCGUCCGCGCUCCAGCGCUCCGGGUGGGGCUGUGAGUCCAUCGCUGAGAAAAGGGAGCUGGAGGACCAGUGUGGAGCCUGAGCCAGCUGGAGAGGGGCCCGGUAGGAUGUGAGCAGCAACUGUUUGGGCUGGUGGCACAGAGGUAAAAGAACUUACCAAGACAGCUGUGGGUGAAGAAAGGCAGAUUUAUUAAAGACAGUAUCAAAGUAUGUUAUCAGGGAGCAACAGGCAGAAUCAGUGGAAGAGGAGCUGACUGCAAGGAAACAAAGGCUUGCUGGAGAUUUUAUAGGAUGGUUCCUGGGCUGAUUGAUAAUGCCAAGGCAGCAGGGAGCUGACCUGCAUUCUUCUGUCACCCGAGGUGUUUGAUGAUAAGUGGAUGCGUGCGUUUGAUGAUAAGCAGGAAGUUUGUGAGUUACGUUCAUUAUUUGCUCGGCAGGGCUGUAUGUCCUGGGUCAUAAAGAAAAGCAAGCCUAUAGCUUAUCUGCUUCCUUUUUUUGUUUAUAUAUCCUGGACCAUGAAGAAAAUGCAGAUCUAUAGCUUAUUUGCUUUAUCUCUUUGCUUUCCCCUGGUCCCACCAGCCUGACUCCUUUUCCCUACGUACGAAUCCACAUUCUUCCUAAACAGGUAAUCAGCAGACGUAUGUCUACCUAGCACACCCAAGUUUAACAUAAUUAUCUAAAUGCAAAAUCUUGAGGAAUAAAGAUAAAAAACCCUCUAGCAGGCACAGCGGCUCAUGCCUGUAAUCCCAAGUGACAUAGGAGUUAAAAAGAAAUUAUUUAGGCAGAUAGUGAGGGUAAGGAAAUCCCCGGUAAGGUUUUCCUUUUAAUGAAAAGCAGCCCCCAAGUCAUUUCUUUUCUAACAAACAGCAGCCUGAAAAAUCAAGCUGCAGACAUAGAUAAGCAAGCUGGAAGUUUGCACGGGUGAAUGCCAGCAGCUGUGCCAAUAGGAAAAAGCUACCUGGGGGCCAGGCAUGUCCAACAUCGCAGCUCCAUCUUCCCUUUUCUUUGUCAACCACGUGUACAGCAAGGAACAUACAACAUGGCCCGGUCAGACAGGGACUCCAUCUGCAUAAUAAAAGAUUAGGGUGGGGCAGCCAGCUUCUGAUUGGCACACCUGGUCCAACCAAUCUUUGGGGCCUACGUAAAUCAGACACCACCUCCUGAAGCCAGUCUAUAAACCCCGUGCCCUUCGCCACGGACUGGAAGUCCUACUUGGGAGCCCUUUUCUCUCUGCAGGAGCUAGAGCUAUUCUCUUUUCUCUUUCGCCUAUUAAACCUCCGCUCUUAAACUCACUUCUUGUGUGUCCACGUCCUUGAUUCCCUUGGCGUGAGACAACGAACCUCAGGUAUUUACCCCAGACAAUGAUGCAGCUUCACCAUCAUUUUGCAAGGCUGAAGCAAGACGAUCACUUGAGCUCCGGAGUUCAAGACCAGCCUGGGCAAUACAGUGAGGCUCCCAUCUCUACAGAAAAAAAAAAAGAAAAGAAAAAUUAGCUGGUGUGGUGGUACGCACCUGUGUUCUCAGCUACUUGGGAGGCUGAGGUAGGAGGAUCGCUUAAGCCCAGGAAGUUGAGGCUGCAGUAAGCCGUUUGUGCCACUGUGGCAAGCCAGAUCUCACAAAAACUGAACAGGCAGGCCUCCAUAAGAACUGUUCUAGCAUUGACUAAAUGGUUAGGUUAAAUAUUAAAGGCUGAGAGAGCCAGCGCCCUAACACAAAGGCUGAUGAUUUGAAGCAUGACAAAAUAAUGAAGGAAUGGUCACACUCCUCAUACCAGGAUCCAUUUAGGAUUAAACAAGUUUUAUUGGGGGUCUAAAGGAACUCUCCAGACCUCCAUAACUUAGUAGGAGACAAGAUAAGGUAAUUACCUUUGGCACUUGGACCCAUCUAGAGUAAGUAAAAUCACUGAGGCUCCAGAGGAAUGUCCCCAAGGUCUAUAACUCAGACCUUAGUUAUAGAUUAGAAGAAAUUAAUCACUUGUGUCUUUAGAUGAAUGCACACUAACAUGUAGACAUAUAGCUUAGAAGGUAGAUAAGCACUGGAAAACUUUGUAAUUUUGAGUUGGUCUGGCAAUAUUUUUCUGGCCCUCUCCCUGUACCCGGUUACAGAAAUAAAACUCUCUUCUUUCACAGUUCAUCAGCAUCUUGUUAUAGGGCUGCGAGAAUAAGCAGCCUGACCUUCAGUUCAGUCCAGGAACACCACUGCACACCAGCUUGGGUGACAGAGUGAGACCUUGUCUCUUAAAAAAAAAAGUCCUCAGAGAGAGGCCACAUGUAUUUUGUCCUCAGUUGUCACAAGGAAGAUGCAAUACAUUUAUUUUUCUCCUGGAUUAGUACUGCAGAAAAGCCUUUUAUCCUUUUUCUUUUUUGGCUAUGGAUGUCCAGUUGCUCCAGCACUGUUUGUUGAAAAGGUUAUACUUCCUCCGUGGAAAUUUAUUAUUAUUAUAAUGCACAGAUUUUAGGUCAGAAAAAUUGGGGGAGGUGCCCAAGGUCACUCAGGGAGUAAGUAGCUAAGAUUGGGUUAGAACCCACUUUGUUGUGUGAUUCCUUGCUUGGAUUACUAUGCACAACAGAAUAUGGCCCACCUCCCCACAGUUGAUCUCAUUCAAGUGAUAAUGGGUGAUCCUGAAACAGAAGGAAUCUGGCAGAAGCACGGAUAUGGCUGGGGAUAACAGGAGAGGGAGCUGCUGGAGUAACUCUGUGGGCGGCAAGCCACCCAGGUGCCAAGGCAAGAGACCGAGGACACGAGCUGUUCCAGUAUAAUAAAAUAUAAAACAAGAAUAGUUAUACCAGAUAUAGAUCUUAGAUAUGAUUAUAUAUGAAUAUCAUUAAUCAUUAGUUGGUAGCAAUUACUCUUUAUUCCAAAUUAUAAUAAUCCUCACUCUAUAAUCAUAACCUGGGAAAAGCCAGGCCAUAUAGAGAUAGGAGCUGAGGAGACAUAGUGAGAAGUGACCAGAAGACAAGAGUGCGAGCCUUCUGUUAUGCCCAGACAGGGCCACCAGAGGGCUCCUUGGUCUAGCGGUGAUGCCAGCAUCUGGGAAGAUGCCCGUUGCCAAGCGGACCGUGGUCUAGCAGUAGUGUUAGUGUCAAGGAAAAACACCUGCUACGUAGCGGACCGGGAAAGGGAGUCUCCCUUUCCCCGGGGGAGUUUAGAGAAGACUCUACUCCUCCACCACUUGUGGAGGGCCUCAGGCCCACCUGCAGUUAUCCGGAGGCCUAACCGUCUCCCUGUGAUGCUGUGCUUCAGUGGUCACGCUCCUAGUCCACCUUCAUGUUCCAUCCUGUACACCUGGCUCUGCCGUUUAGUUAGCAGUAGCAAACCAGUGAAAGUACUAAGUCUCUAAUAAGUAGAAAUAAUGGUGUAAGCUCUCUCUCUCUUUCUCCUCUCUCUCUCUGCCU